rnacentral:lncRNA from 1 species
UUGACCACCAUGGGAACGUUAAUUUCACUAGAAGACAUUUUCCACCGUCUAAGGAACGUAUAGGGCUUGAAACAGGGGACUCUGGUAAGACAGCUUACCCAAGUAAACAGUCUCCUUUCAAUUUUUACAGCAACGGGUUCGCACCUGAGGCUUCCCGGAAGAGUUUCCCUAUCGGUCCACCGCUUGGUACGUCGUCGUUUUCGUUUCAAAACGCACAAGCAGCUCCAUGGAGUCAUCAUCAUCAUCAUCAUCAUCAAGAGAAGAUAAACAAGAGCAAAGACACUGUGUUUCCUGGAAGCAACGACCAAGGGAGAUUCCAGCUUCUCAGGGGAUCUAACUCCAUGAAGCUCCCUUUGAAAGAAAUGAACCAAAAGAGGAAAGCAGAGAGCUCCAGUAACGCCUCUGCGUUGCCUCCUAAGAACAGUUCAGGGUCCUUUGAGUGCAUCGUGAAUAGAAACCCUGCUGAUUUCACCGUUGCUGAACCUGGGAAUGUUUACAUGUUAACGAGUGAAAAUCUUAAGGUGGUAAGAAAACGUGCACCCUACAAGACAAAAGCAAGUUUGUGUAAAGAGGAUGCAAUGAAGCAGACUAAGAAGACCGUUGGUCCAGUUACAGAAAAUGCCUAAAGAUUAAUACAAAAUGGAAGAGGUUUCUUCAGGUAAAUUGCUAUGCCUAUAGAACUGAGUUUUAUUUAAGUUUAGUUACUAGAAGUCUAGAACAGAGAUUAUUCUUGGUCUCCUUCAGUUCUAACAAAACAUGGGUUUCUCUUUGUGAAACAGACGGUGAGAGGAAGAGGGAUGCAAAGAGGCGCACCAGUCCUGUUGAAGUCAAUAAUAAGUCAGAAAGGAAACAGUAAAGCGAAUCUUCUCAGUUACUUCCUGUUCUUGGAUACACAUCUCUUUUUUUUCCUUGUGUUUGAUCACUCAUGCUUGGUAACAUUUAGUGUGUGUAUAUACCUUAAAUUACUGUACUACCCUUGAUAGGUCUUGUUUUUCUUAAGAUAUUUUUGUUGCGCUCUUUUAUUUAUACAGUCCCUAUUUAUACCGCUGGCAUUAUCUUUUUAUUUUUCGGUCUAAAUGUUACCGUUACGACCGGUAUGAGUUGUCUUUUUACAGUGUCAGCUUUAACAACGUCACAGGAAAACCUAAAAAUAACUCUUCUAAAGUUUUUCCACUUAUCUGAAGAAAACUCAAGCAAGUUAAUUUUAAAUUUACAUCUUAAUUUUUGUUUGCAAAGUAAUUGUGAAUUAACUACAGGUAGGUGGUGGACUUGUGGUUUAAAGUCACUAGUAUAAGUUUAAUUUGGAAGAUGUAAAUUCACGCCUUAAAUAUGGUAUUCUCAACGGUUGGCCAUGUAUAUGGGUUAGAUUAUGAACUACAAGUUUGGACUUUCUAAAAUUUAUCAAGAAACAAUAUUCAAUUAAAAUGCCAAGAGUUGUUGAACAAUAUGCGAAAAACAAAAACAAAAAAUUUUGGUCAAGAAAUAUGCUAAAUUUAUAAACCCUAAAAAUUACUAAAGAAAUGGUAAAAGGUAGGAAAUAUCUAUUGUUACUCAAAGAAGUUGGAUAUUCGUUGGCUCUAUUUGGAUGUGAAUGGAAGGUGGGAGUGGAGAGCAGUGAGAAAUUAUAUAUGGUUUAAAGUUUAAAGCGAUCGAGAGUGGGGAGAAAGUUAAGAUGGUUUCAUCAAAUGUAACAUGACAAGAAAGGAAAGGUGCACAGAAAAAUUCUAAAUUAAGCAAUGAUGUAUCCACUGUGGUUUUUUGUAAAAACGCAUGAAGAGCUUUUAGCUUGACUUAUAGCUGACUUCGUGUUUUCUUUGUCCGAGGGCUCUUCACUGUUCAUUUAUACGUCUCUUCGAUGUUCUUACUUUUUUUUUGGUUUUUUUGUUUCUUCACGGACUAUUCACGUGCGGGUUAGAUCUGACCCGUAUUAAUUGGUGGGUCUUUGUUAUCUUUGUUAAUCUCAUGCGGUUAAUUUUAAGUGUCUUAUUAUCUGUUAAUUGACUUCUAAAUAAUUUGAUUUAAAACCCUAAAUUACUCAGAUAAAUAAUCUUUACGUUUCUAAGUCGGAAAAAUAUUGAAACGGGUCAGUUCUAAAGUUUUUUUAAAUGGUCAUGUAGACAAAGGUUACAGCUUUGGGUGUUCCCGUGUCUGAAAACCCUAAUUUUUUGGUCGCUGUUUAAAUAUAGAAUUUAAAAUGUUAAACUAUAAUUCACUUCGAACGUAUGAAGAAUUUUGUUUGUGAUUUUAUGUAGAACUUAGAGUUUAAAUUUUUUAAUUUUCAUGGAACUGAAGAGUUAAAUGGAUGGUUGUUAUGAAUGUUAUUUUAUGUGGAUAUUCAUGGAAUGUACUUGGAACAUCAUGAUUAUAUGUAAACUUUAAUUAAUUUAUAUAUGGAGCGUUAAGAUUUUGAAGCGUUGGAUCUCUUUGCAUGCACAAGCAUUUGAUCAUCAAGCACAAAUAUACAGUUUUGAUUUGUUACUUAAAUCUUUCGGUUUUGUGAAGUUAAGAAAAAUUAUCGUGUGUAACAGCUCUAGGUACGUAGAGAGUAUAAUGGUGGAAGUUAAUCAUCAUUAAGGCAUAUAAUCUCCUUCAAGCAAAUCAAUGAGUUCCUCCAUUAAGAUCAACUCGAUAUCAAUAGAUCUCGCAGGCGCUGCCAACGAGAUUAAUAUGGUAAAAUGUGAUCACUUCUCCAUACGGUGAGCCUACUAUAUAUUGACAUUAUGUUAUCAACCUUCCUUGUUUAAACUAUGAUCAUAUUUUCCUUUACUUUGAUAGAUAUUAUAUGUAUUUAUAUCACUUCCUAAUGCAUACACUAUUAGUAAGAUACAAGAUGAAAUGACAUGAAUAUAUCGAGUUUUCUUCUUAUAAUUCAAUGCAGUGGAUUCGUAGCUGAAACGCGUGAGAGAGACCAUAGAAAAUGUUGGCCAUUCUCAGAAGAGAGUGUUACUUUGGGGAAUCAACAAAGCUAUCCCCUUCCUUCUUCAUCUGUUCCAAAGUUUAGAUGGUGGCGUUGUAUGAGCUGCAUCAAAGAUAUCAAUGCUGAUGGGAUAAAGGGUAUACUUACUUAUUUCCAAUAUUUUGUGUAAAUGUUCUAUACUAGCUAGAGAGAAAGGCUGCUUGAACAUUUAAAUGGUUGUUUUAAGAUUUAGGACUGCAUGCAAACUCAACAAGUAUAAGCGGGGAAAAGCUAGAUGAAACCUCUUCGGUUAUCCCUAGUCAAAGCAAAUUGAAUCCACUAAUUAUCACCGAUCAGGAGAAAGAAAGGAACAAUGAUAUUGCAGGUAAUUAGAAUCUGCUUGUUUUAGUUUCAUAAUUCAAACCAACCGUAAUAAUUUUUGUAUUAUCAUUUUUUCAGGUAGUGCUGUUGUGGAGAAUGAGAAUGUAAACUGUGAAAGAUCUCAGAAGGAUGAUCAGACAGGUAAUAUAGUCUUCUCUGGUCUAGCAAAUUAAAGCGUGCAGAUGAAAUAAAACUAACUUUGUGAAGCUGAAACAGUUGCAGCUACUACGUUAGUCAAGAAAGUUCAUCCUCCAUCUAUGGAUGCUUCUACUGUUAGAAACAAGAUCAGAAAGCUUGCGAGUCGAGAACAAGUAGGCAACAAGAGAUCUAAAGUAAGCAACUCAUCAACGGAUACUAGCAGCUGGAAAGAGAAACAAAACGUGACAACUUUUGCAUCAUCAGAGAUAGCUGGUGUGGUUGAUGAUACACCACCUAAGGCAAUCAAGAAUCGUCAUAAAGACGACAAGGUGUCAUCAGAGAGUAUAAAUCUUGGGUUCCAGCGUAGGAAAACUCGCAAGGUUCGUCUACUCAGCGAGCUGAUAGUUGACCCCGAGACCAAAGCUACUGGUGGUAGUAACAAUAUAAGACAAGAAGAGUCUUCUUCUUCUUCGAAGGCUAGAGGUAGAAAAAGAAAGGUACCACCUGAAAACAACUAUGUCAGCCGGAAACUAAGCAAAGGCGGCGCAACUUCUGAUCAAGGUGAUAGUGAUUCAGCAGAUAGUGGGUUUGACAGAGAUCUUAUUAAGGGUAAGAAGAAGAACAGAAGAUUCCAGGUUGUUGACGAGUUUGUACCAUCACUUCCUUCUCAAGAGGGAGUCCAUGAGAAUGAUGCAGCAGGUCCUAGUAAGAGUGCUUUAUCCAAGGAUAAAGAUUCGGUUCCUCAUAGAACAGAGAAGAAGCUCAAGAAGAAGAAAAACAAGCCUGUAAUGGAUAACGGUUUUAGUUCUGGUCCUUCCAUAAACACAAGCUCUCAAUCUACUAGAGAUUUAUUGAAUGAGGAAAGGGUUGGUAACUCACUUGACGACCGUUUGGCUGCAGAAGGGUAUUUCAGAAAACCUAUCCCUCCUCAGGUUAAUAAUGAUAGGCCGGUCACUUCUUUGCAUGUGCCAGAGAAUGCACAUGCGAGGCAAAGAGAUGCAGAAGCAAGCAGUCUUCAAGAGUUUGGUUCCUCUUCUAGACCAAACACAGGUGGAUGGUUGAGAACUGGAGUGGAUGCUGUUGACUUCAGCAGCACCACCAACAACAAUACAGAUAAAGGCUUUGCAGAUCUAUUUUCUGUGCUGCAAAAGGUAAAUGCUUUGUUCUUACAUAUCUACCAGAGGUCAUUAGCUCAACUGGAAAGGACCCUGGCCAUUGUGUCAGAGGUGCCCAAACGAAACUAAUAUUAUACUGUGGUUUCAGUCCCGACCCUCCUGGUAUUAAAAAAUGGUUUUGUUCUUACAUGACUUUAGUUAGAGCUCUAUAUUGUUGUGUCUUCCAAAUUAGUGUAUUAAUGGAAUCAUUUUACUUGGCAGGAAGCUUCUGGUGCAGACAGAAAGGGGAAGACAGUAAUGGUCCAAGAACAUCAUGAACCACUCGGAAGCCAAAGCCAUGAUAGAAAUGAGAACACACCUGAAGAGGCAAACGAUGAUAUCACCUUGGAGAUAGCCGAACUCAUGGCCAAAAACCAAUACGAGAGGUGUCUUCCAGACGAAGAAGAUGACGUAAGCAACAAGAAACCACCACCACAAGAAGAGACACCACACAGAUCCAAGAACGCUCUCCUGAUUGAUCUUAACGAAACCUAUGAUAACGAGACCUCACUGGAGGAUAACAACAACAACACAUCAAGACCGCAGCAGAAACCUCUGGACUUCUUCCCAUUAAGACAGCCUUACGUGCCUUCUUCUCCGUUUGGGAUCUUUCCUCCUCCUACUCAAGAGAACCGAUCUAACUCCAUCCGGUUUUCUUCUGGUCACAACAACCCCCAGUGGCUUGGGAAUGUGCCAGCAAUGGCUAACCAGCAUCCAUCUUCCUCCUCAUAUAGAGUGUUACGUGGGUGUAACACGUGCUACCAGAGUGUUCCUCAUCAGUACAGAGAACCAGCUUCUUCUCAUCAGAUCUGGCCACCUUCCAUUGUGCAACGACCACAGUGUCAUCAUCAUCAGACACCAGUUUCUUCUUUCAACAUGGAUCAGUCAACGAGGCUUGGUCCCACCAAUAACAAUACGUGGAACCUCAACUUUGUUACCCCCAACGGGAAGCAAAGAUGUGAUGGUAAUAGAUCAAUGGACGCUAAUGAGAGCUCUAUACCUGCAUUGAAUCUGCUCAGCCUUAUGGAUCCUAGGUUGAGAUCAUCAAACGCUCCCGUUGACCACCAUGGGAACGCUAAUUUCACUAGAAGGCACUUUCCACCGUCUAAGGAACGUAUAGGGAUUGAAACAGGGGACUCUAGUAAGACAGCUUACCCAAGUAAACAGUCUCCUUUCAAUUUCUACAGCAACGGAUACGCACCUGAGGCUUCCCGGAAGAGUUUCCCUAUCGGUCCACCACUUGGUACGUCGUCGUUUUCGUUUCAAAGUG